CUUCUUCCCCUUUUUCCCUUUCCAUCACUCACAUUCAAAUCAGUGACAUUUCACAUGCAAAGGGCCAGUAAACACAUGGAAAUUAUUUGGAGAUGGAAGUUCAGAGAGGUGUGAAGAAGGAAGGAUUUGGAGCUCCUGACACCCGCCGGCAGGCGAUGAAUUAGUGCAGCACAGCUGGAGCUGCUUGAGGGCUGCAGAUGCAAAUCCCAGAGCUGUUCCUGCAUGUACCGGAGACAGUGCGGCCAGUCUGGGGGUUCCCAUAUAUAAGAUAUGUCGAGGUGCUAGAGCGAAGCUGAGAAAAAAUGUAUCUUUGAAGAGGCAAAGUGGACAUGUCAUUGAUGUCUAUGGUUAUUAAGAGGGGGAUGUGCAGAAGGGAGAACCAGACUGUCCUUGGAGAUGCACGGCGACAGGACGAGAGGCAACAAGCACAAAUGGCAGCAUGGAAAUUCUCAAUAGAGAGUGAAAAAUGCCCACCAUGAGAAUGGUCAAAUGGCAGACUGGGAGCCCAGAAAGGCUGUGAGACUCCACUGUACGAGAUGCUCAAAACUCAGCCGGACAUAGCAGCCUGGUAAGAUGGGCCUGCAUGGACUGGAAGCCAUGCUUUUAAUUGCAGCUGGUGUGACCUCUGUGUGACACUGGGGUGACAUUAUCCAAGCCUCUUAAGCAGAAGCCCGGUCCCAUCCCAGUUAAAUCUGCCAGGUGAGUCCACUUACUUCUAAAUGAUGUUGGUCUCUAUCAGCAUUGCAGGAUGCAUCUUGCUGCCACUGUCCUCUCCUAGGGGCAGUUUCAAGCACAACCCUUUGAAACACGAAGCAGGAGUGGGAUGCUAGGUAUGGCUCCCUAGAGAAAAGCCACUCCCAAAGCCAGCAGGAUGCCACAGCUCUACAGAGGGAUUCUGCUCAUGGUGUCAUCACUUCCUAUGUGUGUCCCCUGUGGAUCCUGUUGUGACACAGAGGCAUCAGAUGAGCCCGUGUGUCUCCUGCACACUCAACACCUGAACACGUCAGAUGUGCACUUCUGGAAGGAGCAGUGAGAGAUGCCAUCACUCACAGUCUGUCAGUGGCCGCUGCCCAAUUCCAGGCUCCCAGCAGAGCCUGCACCCUACAAGAGGAGUGCUCAGCCCCUUCCCCAGCACUCAGGUUUCAGUGUAACUCAAUCCCAGGGCUCUCCAUACCUACCCUCUGUCUGCAGAGUCCUUUUGCAGGCUUGCUGACAUUUAUAUACCAUUCUAAAUAUCACUGAAGCAUUGCUGGGAGAGAGGAAAUGUGGAAUGAAUGACACAGACUUGCAAGCAGCAAAGGGAAGAAGGUGGUGCUGAGUUUGAUUGUAGUAACUGUGCCAACACCCCCAAGGAACACAGCCUCCUACAGACACCGUGCCUUUUCCAGGUGAUGAAAUGAACUUCUUUAGCUUUAACCCUAAGUAAACGAUGGCCCAGCUCAUAAAACAUCCUGGAGCGCAGAACUGUUUACAGACUUUUAUUUGUCUUGAGCUUCGUGCUUUGUAAGAUUGGAGGUGAUUUCAUUACCUGGCUUUGUGCAAUGUCAUUCUGGCAACUGGAUCAUAAGUGCCACAUGGAUGUUUACAGUCAUGGGGAAAUACAUUAUGGCCAGAAAGGACGGCUGCAGAUUAAUAGAAAUAUUCUUCUGGAAUACCCGAGGGCCAAUCCUGAGGAUCGAUCCUCUCUUGCUUCUUCUUAAUCUGAAUUCUACUUUGCUCUUAGCUGGAGCUGGAGAGAACCUCCCCUGCCCCUGGUGCUGCUUAGGGCAGGACCAAGCCGUCCCCUCCCUGUAAAGGGGCAUUGGAAUGGGGGAACAUUUAUUUCCCCCUGGAAUUAUUGCCCCUGCUUCAUGGUGGAUGGGAGCAGCAGUGAGGCACACCCAGCUUGGGUGUCACAUGAAACGGAGCUUGGUCAGCUUCCAGGAGUGGAAUUCAGCCUUUUCUUUUCCAAGAAAGGAUGCAAGCAAUUUGUCUUUAGAAUACUAUAAAGACGCCUCAAGAAUAUCAUAUAGUCUGCUAGUGCUGCAGAGAACCUCUUAAAAACUUAAUUGCCUGUGUCACCAAAUGAGGAGAGAGCAGUCCCUUGAAAGAUCCAGUGUUUUGAAAACAAGCAGUCAGUUCUAAAUACUUUCAAAUGGUACAUGCUUCUUUACUCCUGCUGACAAUAAGAGUAAUUGCUGAGCACAGGAUAAAGGAGAUUGUCUAAAAUGUUUUAUUUUCUUGUUGCAUCCUUUUUUUUUUUUUCCUACAAUGCAAAAAGACAGAGGCGUCCUUGGGCUGCAACCAGUCAGACAGAGAGGUUUCCAAGAGGCAGGUGAGAGGUAGAGAUCUCAACAGCAAAGUGACUCUCCUGGUUUGAGAGCACCUCCGCUCUCACCACUCGUGCUGUGAGUGCUGCCUGCAGGGAUGACAGAUCAGGACGUUUCCUCCCAUCAUUUACUCACUGCACUGCCUCACUAACAUCUCUAUUAAUUCUGGGAUACAGAAGACCUCGAGCAUCUCCGUUUGCUCACUCACCUCUGACUUUUACUGUGGCCAUAGUGUUCAGUGUGCGUGGUUCCAUCACCCGGCCUGCUCAGAGCUGAUGUCAGUGUCUGCCAUCACUCUGUUUGCCCAUUAAGGACUUGUUGGCUCCCUGCAUUUUCCUGUGUGGCCCACGGUGCAGCGUAGUGCACUGGAAAGCAAUAUCCAUUCUAACGUGAUGUGACAUGGGAAACCUCAGAGGAAGCACAGGCUUAUGCUGGCUGUGCUGCUGCACAGUCAAUAGUCCUCCUUUAUGCCUGCCAUUAAAGCAGGAGCAAACAGUUAUGAUCUAUGGCUUGACUUUUUAUCUAUUUAUCUUUUUAUCUUUUUACCUUUUGAUCUAUAGCUUCUUUUUAUUUAUGCAAUCACCACGUUUUGUUUUGGGUUGUUAUUUUUUGUUGUUGUUUUUCCUUGGUAAGCAAGUAGAUAUGCAAAGCACAGCAGAUGUCCCGAACUUGAAGAGCCAAGGGAACAUUUCUUCUUGGCCCUUAGAUGAAAUGGACUGGGCUGUGCUCCAGGAAAUAGGAAUGAUUAAUCCAUCAUUGAACAUGAACUUAAACGAGCUAAUAUUGGGCAUUUUAGUUCUGAUGUAUGCGCUAAGUGAAAGAAUCAUUCAGAGGAUAAAAGUAAUGGCUUUGGGACGGUGUUGUAAGACAGAGCGGCUCUGCAGGAGCAGGAGGGUGAGAGCAGCAGGGCUGAGUGCACGCUACUAUGCUUCCUGAGUGCAGGAAUGGGAACUGCUGCAUGACCCCAACAGUCUGCAGUGUGGGUUCAGUGCUGUGACACACACUGCCUGCUCCAGCCCCAGCUCGGUGGCUUUAGGCUUAGGAUGUGCUCCAGCUGCCAGGCAUACAGCCAAUUGCCCAGAAGGCAACUGCAUUGCCCGUGGAUGCAGUGAUAUGACCAAGUUCACCCAAAGUCUGUGUCAGAGAAAGGAGCUGAGCCCAGGGCUCAUGCAGCAGGGACCAACCAUCACAGCAUAGGGCCUGGAUGCACUUCAUGGAAAAGGAUAUAGUGGUUGAAAAAGGGCCCAGUGUAAAUCCUGCCCUGCCUCUGCCAGUGCUGAGAUCAGCAGGUUUUAAGUCUAAUUCCAGCAGAAGAUUUCUGCCUGUGCCAGAUGUGGUUUUCAGAUGCUGCACUGUGGCUUUGCUGCAUUCCUGGCCCACUGCAGCCAAGCAGACCCCUGGAGCCUUGCCAGAGAGGGAGAAGGUAAGCAAGAUCCCAAGGUGCCCCUCUCAACUGGAUGAUGCAUUUCAGCUUUGCUUCCAAGCCUUCCAGAAGGCACCAGCCCCUCUGCCCAGGUAUUAUUCUUGGGCACUCUCAAAAUAGCUGCCUUUGCCUGGGAAUCAGAGAGGAGAGCUCAGUGAGUCCCCCUGAAUCUCCAGCUGCAGUAAUAUGUUGUUAUGAACCUCUACCAGAGCACUCGUAGUGCAGCUGGAGAGUCUGUCUGACAUUGCCUCCAGUGACCUUUUCGCUAUAGUCCAAGUGCUGUGGAGCUGGUGUUUCAAGAGGAAUUCAAAUGGAAUUUACUCAGGCAGAAAGGAUUGGCCUGGGGAUAGCCCUUCUACAGCUUCUGGUUCUCCUUGUCAUUCUCAUGGAAAUUGCAAUUCUUUAUGCAUGGUGCUUCUUCCUGCACCGCAGCAAAUGCGUCCCUUCAAGCAGCAGGCUGCUAACAGAGGGGCUCCAAAAUGAAGGCAUAACCCAUUACAAGGUCACAACGUGGCCAUGAGCCCUGACACCAAAACUGGCUGGUGGACAUCAGGCACCCGCCUCGAGUUCCAGGAUGCAGCUUGUUUACGUGGGAUGCGAGCAGCAGGGAUUUGUGUAAGCUUCGGGGCAUGGGGGAUUUGACGCAGGGCUCUGUAGGGCAGGGGGCAGCGGGGCAGCUGGUUGGUGCUCAGAGCUGAUGGCAAAGGGCUGAGUCCCUGCUUGGUGUGGGCAAAGUGUGUGCUGGGGGAGCAUCACAUUUCUUCAUGCGCUUUUCUGGCGCGGUGCGAUUAUUUCACACGUGUUUGUAUGAGAGCUGCUUUAAAAUGUAAUUUCUUUGAUUAAUUUGGUGUCUGUAUUUUCACUGUUUUGUUCGCUCCAAUUUAUGACAAAAUUGAACAAAGUGGGUAACAAAAUAUAGCCCUGUCAGGCUCCUGUCUUCACGGAUAUAAAGAAAAAUGUGAAACUGUCAGGCACACAAAUGUGCCAAACCCCAAGGAAAAUUAUUACAUUCUGC
ensembl:lncRNA